CAGUCACACACUCAGUUACAGACACAGUCACACACUCAGUUACAGACAGACAGUCACACACUCAGUUACAGACAGACAGUCACACACUCAGUUACAGGCAGACAGUCACACACAGUCACAGGCAGACAGUCACACAUACACAUUUCCUCUGUGCGGCCAGUUUAUCAGCUGUUUGUUUGAGUGAGCUGUACUGGCCGCACGGCACC